rnacentral:rRNA from 1 species
UACGGGGGGGGCAAGCGUUGUUCGGAAUUACUGGGCGUAAAGGGCUCGUAGGCGGCCAACUAAGUCAGACGUGAAAUCCCUCGGCUUAACCGGGGAACUGCGUCUGAUACUGGAUGGCUAGAGGUUGGGAGAGGGAUGCGGAAUUCCAGGUGUAGCGGUGAAAUGCGUAGAUAGUCUGGAGGAACACCGGUGGCGAAGGCGGCAUCCUGGACCAAUUCUGACGCUGAGGAGCGAAAGCCAGGGGAGCAAACGGG